AGUGAACGCUGGCGGCAUGCCUAAUACAUGCAAGUCGAACGGCAACAUAGUAAGAGUUUUCUCUUACGGGUGGCGAGUGGCGGACGGGUGACGCAUGCAUCGGCUUCUUCUUUUUCGGGGGUGAUUACGUAGGAAAGCUGACGCUAAUACAGCAUAUGAUCUACGGGUUGAUUCAAUGGAUCUUCACGCCUUUCCUGUUUGAUUUAGCUGAUGUCGGAUUAGCUAGUUGGCGGGGUAAGGGCCCACCAAGGCGACGAUCCGUAGCUGAUCUGAGAGGAUGAUCAGCCACACUGGAACUGAGACACGGUCCAGACUCCUACGGGAGGCAGCAGUGGGGAAUAUUGGACAAUGGGCGCAAGCCUGAUCCAGCCAUACCGCGUGGGUGAAGAAGGCCUUCGGGUUGUAAAGCCCUUUUAUUAGGAAAGAAAAGCUGCAUGAUAAAACACCGCCGUUCUGACGGUACCCAAAGAAUAAGCACCGGCUAACUUCGUG
rnacentral:rRNA from 1 species